rnacentral:rRNA from 1 species
GACAGAGGCCUCGAGCGUUAGGCGGAAUCACUGGGCUUAAAGCGUGUGUAGGCGGGCCCGUAAGUGUCUUGUGAAAUCCCACGGCUCAACCGUGGAACUGCUGGGCAUACUGCGGGUCUUGGGCCAACUAGGGGCAGCCGGAACAAGCGGUGGAGCGGUGAAAUGCGUAGAUAUCUGGAGGAAUACCGGUGGCGAAGGCGGCAUCCUGGACCGACAUUGACGCUGAACGGCGAAAGCUAGGGGAGCAAACGGG